GAUCAUGGCUCAGGACGAACGCUGGCGGCGCGCCUAACACAUGCAAGUCGAACGAGCGAGUAGGGAGCUUGCUUUCUCGAGCGAGUGGCGAACGGGUGAGUAACGCGUGAGGAACCUGCCUCAAAGAGGGGGACAACAGUUGGAAACGACUGCUAAUACCGCAUAAGCCCACGGGUCGGCAUCGACCAGAGGGAAAAGGAGCAAUCCGCUUUGAGAUGGCCUCGCGUCCGAUUAG
rnacentral:rRNA from 1 species